CAGCAGCCGCGGUAAUACGUAGGUGGCAAGCGUUGUCCGGAAUUAUUGGGCGUAAAGCGCGCGCAGGCGGUCCUUUAAGUCUGAUGUGAAAUCUUGCGGCUCAACCGCAAGCGGCCAUUGGAAACUGGGGGACUUGAGUGCAGGAGAGGGAAGUGGAAUUCCACGUGUAGCGGUGAAAUGCGUAGAGAUGUGGAGGAACACCAGUGGCGAAGGCGGCUUCCUGGCCUGUAACUGACGCUGAGGCGCGAAAGCGUGGGGAGCAAACAGGAUUAGAUGCCCUGGUAGUCCACGCCGUAAACGAUGAGUGCUAAGUGUUAGGGGGUUUCCGCCCCUUAGUGCUGCAGCUAACGCAUUAAGCACUCCGCCUGGGGAGUACGGCCGCAAGGCUGAAACUUAAAGGAAUUGGCGGG
rnacentral:rRNA from 1 species